rnacentral:rRNA from 1 species
CUACGGCGGCUGCAGUGGGGACUAUUGCACAGUGGGCGCCAGCCUGAUGCAGCCAUGCCGCGUGUGUGAAGAAGGCCUUCGGGUUGUAAAGCACUUUCAGCGGGGAGGAAGGCGGUGAGGUUAAUAACCUCAUCGAUUGACGUUACCCGCAGAAGAAGCACCGGCUAACUCCGUGCCAGCAGCCGCGGUAAUACGGAGGGUGCAAGCGUUAAUCGGAAUUACUGGGCGUAAAGCGCACGCAGGCGGUCUGUCAAGUCGGAUGUGAAAUCCCCGGGCUCAACCUGGGAACUGCAUUCGAAACUGGCAGGCUAGAGUCUUGUAGAGGGGGGUAGAAUUCCAGGUGUAGCGGUGAAAUGCGUAGAGAUCUGGAGGAAUACCGGUGGCGAAGGCGGCCCCCUGGACAAAGACUGACGCUCAGGUGCGAAAGCGUGGGGAGCAAACAGGAUUAGAUACCCGAGUAGUC